rnacentral:lncRNA from 1 species
UUCAACUAGAGCUUAGAAUUACAACAUUUAUUUGGGAAUUUACGGAAUUAAUUCUUGUAGUUGGGUGACAUAAAACAUAGUAUCAUUUAGGAUUUCACUAUAAGUAUAAAAAAUAUUGCGCUUCUCUUGCCUCCAGUUGAUUAAAAUCUUAGUUAUCAUGCAAAGCUUCAUUCUUGGAUAUGUUCAAUUUGACACUAGUAUGAUUUGAGACACUUAAGUUGUGUUCUAGUAUUAACCAAAGAACUUUAUCGAGGCCAUUUUUAAUUGGCUUUGAA